rnacentral:rRNA from 1 species
UACGUAUGGUGCAAGCGUUAUCCGGAUUUACUGGGUGUAAAGGGAGCGUAGACGGCAUGGCAAGCCAGAUGUGAAAUACCGGGGCUCAACCCCGGGACUGCAUUUGGAACUGUUAAGCUGGAGUGUCGGAGAGGCAGGCGGAAUUCCUAGUGUAGCGGUGAAAUGCGUAGAUAUUAGGAGGAACACCAGUGGCGAAGGCGGCCUGCUGGACGAUAACUGACGUUGAGGCUCGAAAGCGUGGGGAGCAAACAGG